rnacentral:rRNA from 1 species
AACUAACGCUGGCGGCGUGCCUAACACAUGCAAGUCGUACGAGAAAGCCGGCUUCGGCUGGUGAGUAAAGUGGCGCACGGGUGAGUAACGCGUGGAUAAUCUGCCCUUAAGUGUGGAAUAACGGUACCGAAAGGUGCGCUAAUACCGCAUAAUGCCUGGCAACACAAGUUGUCCGGCCAAAGAAGGCCUCUGUUUACAAGCUUUCGCUUCAGGAUGAGUCCGCGUGCCAUUAGCUUGUUGGUGGGGUAAUGGCCUACCAAGGCUGCGAUGGUUAGCUGGUCUGAGAGGAUGAUCAGCCACACUGGAACUGAGACACGGUCCAGACUCCUACGGGAGGCAGCAGUGAGGAAUAUUGCGCAAUGGGGGCAACCCUGACGCAGCAACGCCGCGUGAGUGAGGAAGGUUUUCGGACUGUAAAGCUCUGUCGAGCGGGAAGAAGUGUACCAUGGCUAAUAUCCAUGAUAUUUGACGGUACCGCUAGAGG